rnacentral:rRNA from 1 species
AGGACGAACGCUGGCGGCGUGCUUAACACAUGCAAGUCGAACGGUAAGGCCCCUUCGGGGGUACACGAGUGGCGAACGGGUGAGUAACACGUGGGUAAUCUGCCCUGCACUUCGGGAUAAGCCUGGGAAACUGGGUCUAAUACCGGAUAUGAACUCCUGCCGCAUGGUGGGGGUUGGAAAGUUUUUCGGUGCAGGAUGAGCCCGCGGCCUAUCAGCUUGUUGGUGGGUAAUGGCCUACCAAGGCGACGACGGGUAGCCGGACCUGAGAGGGGUGAACGCCGACAC